ACUCGCUUGGAUUGUUGAAUUUGGUUUGUGGAUCUUCAAUCUUUUAAAAUCUUGACAGUGUUUCGACGAGAUUUAGAGAUAUUCACGUGUAUCUCCACUCAUCUCUACUUGUGCCUUUUUUUAAUCUUUUCCAUUCACUGCCUAAAAUAAGAAUCAAACGGCGUUGGAGAUCGAUACGACAAAAUUAUGAUAUGCAGAUUGGUCAAUUGACAGCUUCGUAUCUUAUCGCCACGCUAUCUCCUUAUUUGAUGAUGAAAAGGUCGUCAGCCGCAUCACCGAGUGAUUUACCUGCUCGAGUUGACAGCCAUUGCUGCUGAUGCAGCCGUAUGCAAGCCACUGCUUCUCGCUCCCGAAAUCGUUACCACGAUCUUCUCAUGCAAAUCAACCAAAAGAUCUGUGAUAAAAGACUCCCACAUGUUUCUAAGAACUUCUUUUCUUUUACUCUGCUGAUUGUGAUAAGAAAUUGUCUGCAGUUUUGAGUCACGAGAACGCAACGCAAAGAUAACAGAAAGAAGCGAAAGGCGGCUUGCUUGGGGCUUUUGGACAAAAUAAAAAAUCAUGACAACGCCACCGGAUUCGCCAGGACCAGAAGAAGCAUUCUUUGACUUCGAAAGCACCAGAGUAAGACAACAAACUACCAGGCCAGUGCCUAUAGAAGAACUUCAGCGACAAACUAAAUUUUCCCGCCAGGAGAUCCGAGUUAUGUACCGAGGUUUCAAGCAGGAUGAAAAAAACUUUCCAUCUCUACAUAUUUCACUAUCCUGCUACUGCUGCUGCUAGCGAAGAGCUGAUUGACGACGGCGGAGAGGGUGGUGAUACGGUCAUCAAGACAAAAAACAUCACAAUAGUCAAGGUGAUUUAUUUAUUUAUCUUUUGUCUCGAUGUUCAAUAUCUCCACCCUCUUUGUCGCUAGCCAUCAUCAAUCAACUACUCAGUAGCAGCAGAAGAAAAAAAAAUGUAAAAGUAGAAGCUUCUACUUGCCAAAGCGAAGUAUUAAAGGCCUCUGUAUAAUACUUUCUUGUCACAAAGAAACAUUUGAGACUGAAAAUUUGUUUGUAAUAAACAAAUUUGUUU